AGCCCGGUGGUGUAGCGGCCAAGCAUAAGGGCCUUUGGAGCCCUAGACGAGAGUUCGAUUCUCUCCCGGGCUA
rfam:Miscellaneous Crenarchaeota group-6 archaeon AD8-1 WOR_8-12_416, whole genome shotgun sequence.